rnacentral:rRNA from 1 species
GAUGAACGCUGGCGGCGUGCCUAAUACAUGCAAGUCGAGCGAACGGACGAGAAGCUUGCUUCUCUGAUGUUAGCGGCGGACGGGUGAGUAACACGUGGAUAACCUACCUAUAAGACUGGGAUAACUUCGGGAAACCGUAGCUAAUACCGGAUAAUAUUUUGAACCGCAUUGUUCAAAAGUGAAAGACGGUCUUGCUGUCACUUAUAGAUUGAUCCGCGCUGCAUUAGCUAGUUGGUAAGGUAACGGCUUACCAAGGCAACGAUGCAUAGCCGACCUGAAAGGGUGAUCGGCCAGACUGGCACUGAGACACGGUCCAGACUCCUACGGGAGGAAGCAGUAGGGAAUCUUCCGCAAUGGAGGAGAGCCUGACGGAGCAACGCCGCGUGAGUGAUGAAGGUCUUCGGAUCGUAAAACUCUGUUAUUAGGGAAGAACAUAUGUGUAAGUAACUGUGCACAUCUUGACGGUACCUAAUCAGAAAGCCACGGCUAACUCCGUG